GGCCGGUUAGCUCAGUUGGUUAGAGCGUGGUGCCAAAGAGCGUGGUGCCAAUAACGCCAAGAUCGCGGGUUCGACCUCCGUGCGGGCCA
rnacentral:tRNA from 1 species